UACAGAGGGGGCAAGCGUUGUUCGGAAUUACUGGGCGUAAAGGGCGCGUAGGCGGCCUUCUAAGUCGAACGUGAAAUCCCCAGGCUCAACCUGGGAACUGCGUCCGAUACUGGGAGGCUUGAAUCCGGGAGAGGGAUGUGGAAUUCCAGGUGUAGCGGUGAAAUGCGUAGAUAUCUGGAGGAACACCGGUGGCGAAGGCGGCAUCCUGGACCGGUAUUGACGCUGAGGCGCGAAAGCUAGGGGAGCAAACGGG
rnacentral:rRNA from 1 species